rnacentral:RNase_MRP_RNA from 9 species
GAUACGGUCGCGAAGCUACUUCGUAGUGAACACACGGGUUGAGCCUAUACACUACGGGGAAAGUCUCCGUGCGUUUAAUGCCUAGAGGGCACAGGGGGAAUCUCCAGCGGAUGCUGCGAAUGUUAUUUUACUCGACAUUUGCUGCUUCACUAUUUGCCGUUUGGCCAGACCAUUAAACCGAUAGUCAAUGUAGCUAGCGCCUGGCGCUGACUCAAUGGAGCUUAUCUGCGUACCGUAU